GCCCCUGUAGUCCAAUGCAGAGACACUCGCCUCAGAAGCGAGCCAGUGUGGGUGCGAGUCCCACUGAGGGCACCA
rnacentral:tRNA from 1 species